GAUGAACGCUGGCGGCGUGCCUAAUACAUGCAAGUCGAGCGAACGGAUGAGAAGCUUGCUUUUCUGACGUUAGCGGCGGACGGGUGAGUAACACGUGGAUAACCUACCUAUAAGACUGGGAUAACUUCGGGAAACCGGAGCUAAUACCGGAUAAUAUUUUGAACCGCAUGGUUCAAUAGUGAAAGACGGUCUUGCUGUCACUUAUAGAUGGAUCCGCGCUGCAUUAGCUAGUUGGUAAGGUAACGGCUUACCAAGGCAACGAUGCAUAGCCGACCUGAGAGGGUGAUCGGCCACACUGGAACUGAGACACGGUCCAGACUCCUACGGGAGGCAGCAGUAGGGAAUCUUCCGCAAUGGGCGAAAGCCUGACGGAGCAACGCCGCGUGAGUGAUGAAGGUCUUCGGAUCGUAAAACUCUGUUAUUAGGGAAGAACAAAUGUGUAAGUAACUAUGCACGUCUUGACGGUACCUAAUCAGAAAGCCACGGCUAACUACGUG
rnacentral:rRNA from 1 species